UGAUCAGACAGUGGGGUAUUUCCGAAGGUCUAUGGGUGGAGGGGAUGUGGAGCACAGUCGUAUCUGAAAGCUCAGAAUGCAAACUUUCGCAACUAGAACCAUCUGGAGUGAGAGGGGUGGUGAUACAGAGCUGGGACAGAUUUCUCUGGGUGUUUCCUCCCCUACAGCAUGUUUUUUAGAAGUGAAAUCAGGUUACGAAGAGCACUAAGGCAGCUUUGAAGGGGAAGUCCUGAGAGAACAGGCUGCAGCUUCGGGGUGUGAAUAACAUCACUAUUGUAAAACCUCAGAUUGGUGCUCAAGAUAGUUUUCAGACCCUGCACUUGAUGGAUCAGCUGGCACUACUCAGAUCAACACACUGGCUCACCUGGUCUUGUGGCCCCCACCCAGGAAAUGACUCAGCACAAGAGGACAGCUUUGACUCCCUGUGAUUUCAUCUCAGACCCAACCAGUCAGCUCUCCCUACUACUUGGCCCCCUACCCACCAAAUUAUCCUUAAAAAACCCCAGCCUCUAAAUUUUGGGGGUGACUGUUUUGAGUAAUAAUAAAACUCUGGUAUCCCAUUGAGCCAGCUCUGCAUGAAUUAGUUAACUGUUUCUCUCUUGCAGUUCCUCUGUCUUGAUAAAUCAGCCUGUCUGGGCAGUGGGCAAAAUGAACCCCCAACAGGAGGAUUUCAAAUGUAAAGAAGACACUUGGGCUGAGAUAUCCGGCUGAUCCGAACUCCAACAUGAAGCAUCCUUUCUGCUUUAGAUUGACCCCCAAAGAGUGAAGGACUAGGAAGCCAAAAGUGUCACACGGUCAAAAAUGCUUCCAUCUACUGGUGAAACUCAGGAAUACACUAACAUUUCCCUGCCUGAAAUGGUUAGUUGAGGACACAAAGCAACCCAAAGCGAGCGGAGCUUGGCCAUGGAGCUCAGAAAUUCAAAAUAGUCAGUUCUUGCUGAUGGUGAAG
rnacentral:lncRNA from 1 species